rnacentral:rRNA from 1 species
UACGUAGGUGGCAAGCGUUGUCCGGAUUUACUGGGCGUAAAGAGCGCGCAGGCGGUUGGAUACGUCGAAUGUUAAAGCCCCCGGCUCAACUGGGGAGGGUCAUUCGAUACUGUCCGACUCGAAGGCAGGAGAGGGAAGCGGAAUUCCCGGUGUAGUGGUGAACUGCGUAGAUAUCGGGAGGAACACCAGUGGCGAAGGCGGCUUUCUGGCCUGUUCUUGACGCUGAGGCGCGAAAGCCAGGGGAGCAAACGGG